UGUGUACUCCCUCCGUUCCAAAAUAUUUGACCUCCAUUUGUCCAAAAAAUGGAUGUACCUAUAUACUAAAACAUGUCUAGAUACAUCUAUAUUUUGACAAAUAGAAGGCAUGUAUUGUGGAACGGAGGGAGUAGAAU
rfam:Triticum aestivum genome assembly, contig: Triticum_aestivum_CS42_TGACv1_scaffold_329089_4BS